rnacentral:sRNA from 1 species
CAGGCUACGUGGCUGCGAAACCUCAUUUUAACAUUAUUUUCUUUAUCAACCAUCAAGCAGUUAAGUAAAAAAGUCUAUGACAUGUUUUUAUCUCAAUUUUUAUACCAUUCAGGAAUCCUAGCCUCUUUGCUGAGGUCCUCGAGCUUCAAGACGACCCACCAAUACUUCGCUUUCGUAGGACGUUUCUUGCAAUAAAACCACCUACAAAAAAAUCUUCAAACCAAAGGUUUUAAAAAACACUCAGAGUAGAGAAUCUCAUCAUAGUCAUAUAUUUGUCAUCGUUUAUACACAUCGUCCACCUAAGUAACUAUGGGUUAUGUAAGCAAAAACAUUAAACGUUCCAUCUGACCACAGCGUUAUUAUUAAGUAAAAAGCCGAAAGUAAAGGAA